CGAUGACUGUGUUGACUUCUUCCGGCGCAAAUUUGACACUGAGUAGGCAAAUGGCUGAAAGUGCAUACAAAACCGCUGCAUUGUUCGUAUGCAUUUGCCAAAUGCUACCCGGUCAGCCAACCAGUCAGACAGACAACGAACGAGUCCCCCAGAUAGUAGUCAGGCAGUGGAUGGUGUGGCGACGGCGCAACGGGGGCGUACCAACUACAGCUACUACAUACCUACGUACAUAUGUACAUAUGUAAGUACAAACAUGCAUAGCUUGCUUGUUCGCUAAAAUGCCGCAUAUUACGUAUAAAUUUCGAAUCAAUACAAGCGAGCAAUAGCAGCAACAACAUCAGAAGCAACAGCAGUAAAAAUACCAAGAUGCAAUAACAACAUGCAAUGAAAACAAAUACAAAAACAGCAACAGCAACAGCAAUAACAAAAAAAAAAACAGCCAACUUGGUCGACAACAACGGCAAAGAGGGGAAAAAGCAAAGCAAUUCAGCUAAGGAAUGCGGGGCCACAUAAAUGUCAGAUAAAAUGUUGAUUGUUUUGUUUACAAAGAUACUUUACGCUUCUGUUUACUGCUGACUGCCCGACAGUGCUAUGGCAUACGGCAUAUAUGUAUAUGCACUUACAUACAUACACUUGUGAAUAGACAUUCAACAAUAAACACAUAUCUACCCAGUACGAAAUUAAA